rnacentral:rRNA from 1 species
AAAUUAUUCGCAAACACAAAUAUUCGCCAGAGUACUACAAGCCACAGCUCAAAACUCAAAGGACUUGGCGGUGCUUCACAUCCCUCUAGAGGAGCCUGUUCUAUAAUCGAUAAACCCCGAUCAACCUCACCACUCCUUGUUCAUCACAGCCUAUAUACCGCCAUCUUCAGCAAACCUUAACAAAGAAUAAAAGUAAGCACAAGUAUAAUCAUAAAAACGUUAGGUCAAGGUGUAGCCUAUGGAGUGGGAAGAAAUGGGCUACAUUUACUUAGCCAAGUAUAUAUUACGAUACCUUUCAUGAAACUGAAAGAAAAAGGAGGAUUUAGUAGUAAGCUAAGAAUAGAGUGCUUAGCUGAAUAAGGCCAUGAAGCACGCACACACCGCCCCGUC